UACGUAGGGUGCAAGCGUUAAUCGGAAUUACUGGGCGUAAAGCGUGCGCAGGCGGUUUGCUAAGAGAGAUGUGAAAUCCCCGGGCUUAACCUGGGAACUGCGUUUCUAACUGGCAGGCUUGAGUGUGGCAGAGGGGGGUGGAAUUCCACGUGUAGCAGUGAAAUGCGUAGAGAUGUGGAGGAACACCGAUGGCGAAGGCAGCCCCCUGGGCUAACACUGACGCUCAUACACGAAAGCGUGGGGAGCAAACAGG
rnacentral:rRNA from 1 species